UACAGAGGUCCCAAGCGUUGUUCGGAUUCAUUGGGCGUAAAGGGUGCGUAGGCGGCGCCGUAAGUCGGAUGUGAAAUCUCGGGGCUCAACCCCGAAACUGCAUUCGAUACUGCGGUGCUAGAGGACUCUAGAGGAAACUGGAAUUCACGGUGUAGCAGUGAAAUGCGUAGAUAUCGUGAGGAAGACCAGUGGCGAAGGCGGGUUUCUGGAGAGUUCCGUGACGCUGAGGCACGAAGGCCAGGGGAGCAAACGGG
rnacentral:rRNA from 1 species